UACGGAGGGUGCAAGCGUUAUCCGGAUUCACUGGGUUUAAAGGGUGCGUAGGUGGGCAGGUAAGUCCGUGGUGAAAUCCCUGAGCUUAACUCGGGAACUGCCAUGGAUACUAUUUGCCUUGAAUAUUGUGGAGGUAAGCGGAAUAUGUCAUGUAGCGGUGAAAUGCUUAGAUAUGACAUAGAACACCAAUUGCGAAGGCAGCUUACUACACAGUUAUUGACACUGAGGCACGAAAGCGUGGGGAUCAAACAGG
rnacentral:rRNA from 1 species